UUUUAACUUAAAUAUUAUAUAUUGUUUAAUUGUAAUAGAAAAUGCACAGACCGCAGAUGCAAUUUUUAUGUAGACUGAUUGACUCCCUAUAGUCACUUGCAUUUAAAGAGCCAUUUUGCCACAGAACAACUUCUCUCUGAGGAACACAACUGGUUCCUGGGAAGGAGGAGCUCCUGCUGCCUUAUUGGUUGUAGCCGAUGAUUUCAUGCUCACUUUGUGGUUGUCAACAACUUAAGGAGGGUCAGAAAAGAAUGUUGCUUUCUAGAGUAUUCAAGGCCUUGCACCAUUAACUAAGGUGCAAUGCGCUCUCUUUUGCUCUCACACACACACACAUGCAUUGGUUUGACUCAACAUUGUAAGUGCAAGUGAGAAAGCUUUCAGAUUGUUUUGUACAUGCUGACAAACCAAGGUCCUACCAUUUCUUCAUGUGAUGUAACGUCAAGGUUCUACAAAUUGAUUACAUAAUGUACUGAAAUAAAUGCAUUUCUCUCAUUA